rnacentral:lncRNA from 1 species
AUCCACGAAGGAACUUCUGGUCUUGAUUUGCUUUCUCAUGUGAGUAGCAGCACCCAGAUGCUGCCGUUUGUACGAUCAAGAAGCAAAUGUGCCUAUGGGAGGGGCACUGGGCGAGGCACUGGAAGACCCAGCUUCCCGUCUGGAUCAGCCACUUGCUGGACAACAGAGGUAUUUACCUGUGCUGGGCAACAGAGUGGGAGCUAAGAAUGGCCGGGAGUACAGCGAGGAGCAGAGGAGACCAUGGCAUUUAUAGUCACCAAACCCUGAGCGCUCACUGCGUUUCCUGCCAUUCUAAUACAAUCUAGGAAGCACUUUUGAAUUGAAGAUUGUGGUGUUCCUAUGAGUUUGGACCACGUGAGCCAGUUUUGCUACACUCAGGCUGAAUACUCGGAUUCCAGAGCUGGGGCCCCAAACCCUGUGUGGCAGAGAACAGACGCCCCUGUCCUCCCUCUCAGGCCUCACCUGGCUUUUGGCCUCCCUCUUCCCACGAUCACAUGAACAGCAGGUCUGUUCAGAGUUGCUCCUGAAUGCGAAAGCCAGCAAAGGCCAAGAGGCCACACUGAAGCCCCUGAGAAUCUCUGCAGAGCCGGGUCCCUACGAAGCCAGUUGUUUGCAGCAGUGGGGUGUUGGGAAGGCUCCGGACUCCACGGGAGGAGAAACGUUUCUGUGCAGUAAAGAAGGCGAUGAAAGGUAAGGGGAUACUAACAAUAAAUCCAGGGCUCAGUUCAGUGGUGUGUUUGUGUUCGCCUUCAGUCCAGGGCCGCCCUGGCCUUUUCCAGCCCAGGUCUGUCCCGGUCUGUCCACUUGCUCUGCACAAAGCCACCUGUGUUUUGGUGUUACAAGGGUCUCCCUGAUUCUGUGCUCCGGGAGAUGCUCUGCCCCUUCUGCCUCCCGAGGCCAUUGUGGAAGAACAUCAAGGAGCACAGACAAAGCGAGGACCCCAGUGUGGGACGCAGGCUGGCUGACACACGCCAGCAGAGGUGUCGGCACGCUGGAGGACCCGAGGGAGGGGACCCCGAACUCCAGGAGCAGCUGGUCCUUCCUCAGCAGUGCCCCUGCGGUGCUCAGAAGAGCCCCAGUGAGAACCUGCUUGUCCUGGAGGAGAGGGAAUUGAAAAGACACCUCACCCCGAGGACUCCCGGCUUGUGGUGGAAAAUUCUCUCUGAAACCGGAAGCAGCUAUAGAAUCAGCAGCAGAGCCUCCAGAAGCACCGAGUCCAGUGGUUACCAGAUGAAGCUCCCAUCUUGUACUACAUCUUGAAAGCACAGACAUUCCACUGUGGCAGCACCAUUAGUUGCAAAAGACUCCCUGUUGUCUUCAAAAGUGAAUCGACUGUGUUCGUGUGUUUGGUGCUGGAGCCUUCUUGUGCUUAACAUCUCUUCUAGCAUACUCUCUGUCUCUCGAAAUAAAUGCUUUCCCCAGGACCAACAGCACACCAGAUGUGGCCCAGUGCCCCUUAGUACCUGAGAAGCUAAAAAAAAAAAAAAAAAAAAAAAAAAAAAACCNNNNNNNNNNNNNNNNNNNNNNNNNUAGGUUAGAACCAACUGUGACACAAUGGCCGUGUGACUUUUGUGCUUGGGACUUUUUGACCUUGAAGAAAGGCAGGUGAGGCUCAGUGUUCCACGAAGGCCAAGGAAGGAGCUGCUGGAGGAGGACCUGGGUUUGCGCCCUCAGUCUCCAGAUGUUUGCAUAAUUCCUUCUCUCUCAUUUUACAGUGAAAAGACAAUCUGAAGGGAGGGCAGGCUGUGUGAGAACGGGUGUGCUCUGGGGUUAUAAGCUCUUUGAUAGAAAGCCCAUCUUCUCUUGUAAAAAAUAAAUCCCUUCCCUCUACAGUAAGCAAGCAAUAAACGGAUCCUCAGCAUCUCUUGUUUACUUCCUGCUGCUUUGAGUCAAACAGGUAAAUUGCACAGAAAAUGUGUUUUAAGCCCGGGUCCCCAUUACAUUCCUUCGGUUUUCUUUUACCAAAAAGGCUAUUCUUUUACAAUUUUGGAACACGAAGCAUGCCAAGUGGUGUCGUUCUGUUGUUCAGGUGCUUUCCACCCAUGCCACUCAUUUCUGAUCUGUCUGUUGCAGCCUUCAAACGACCACCUGUUAGGUUGGGAAGGACCUGUGCCUGGAGCCGUGCAAGUCACCUGGGAAAGGUUUGGGGAGUUUACUUUCCAGCUUGGAGAUUUCAUCUUCUGGGUAGACUCAGCUCUGCCUUCAAGAAAUGUCUUCCACAUCAACGGACAACAAACCUUCAUUCCUGCUAAAAUCUCUGGAAGGCUUAUCCUGUGAUAAUACUUUCAUGUUCCUGGCCAGUCUUGCUUUCUUUUUCUUUAUAAAUCAUUCACACAUCUCAAGUCCAAAUACUGACAUGGGACAGUAUGUGAUUAACCUCUCUCCAUUCCAAGAAGUGGCUAGCAUCAGUGAUUCUGCCUUCCAAAAUAGUUUAACCAGUUUUUAAUACACCAAAAAGACUUCUGUCCAGAGCCCUCUGGUCAUCUAUUUUCCUUAAUGGCCUUUUAUGAGGGACCUUAUCAAAAGCCUGCAAUGAAAUCCAAGUAAAUUAUGUUCCUUGGUUCACCUUUACCUACUAUUUCAUUAACUUUUUCAAAAACAAUAUGACA